GGAGGGGGAACGUCCCUGGUGGGACGGCCGGGCUUCAAACCCGGUGGGUGGUGCCAUGCGCCGCCGGGUGGGUUCGACUCCCAUGCCCCUCCGCCC
rnacentral:tRNA from 3 species